rnacentral:rRNA from 1 species
UACGUAGGUGGCAAGCGUUGUCCGGAAUUAUUGGGCGUAAAGAGCUCGUAGGCGGUUUGUCGCGUCUGCUGUGAAAACGCGAGGCUCAACCUCGCGCCUGCAGUGGGUACGGGCAGACUAGAGUGCGGUAGGGGAGAUUGGAAUUCCUGGUGUAGCGGUGGAAUGCGCAGAUAUCAGGAGGAACACCGAUGGCGAAGGCAGAUCUCUGGGCCGUAACUGACGCUGAGGAGCGAAAGCGUGGGGAGCGAACAGG